rnacentral:lncRNA from 1 species
GCACAGUCUUGUUUUCGUGCAGCUCAGCCUUCCCACAGGCUGCGGUUUCAGCAGCUGACAGCACCGGGCGCCCCGCAGCCAGGUGUGACCGCACGGGGUCGGUUCGGAGCGAAGGAGAAGAGAGGGGAGCUGAGAUCAAGAAUGAGGAGAACAGAACCCUGGGGAAGGUGCUGUGGUCCAGGUGGCUCCUGGCUGCACCCAGCCCAAUGUCCCGCAGCAUCUCCACAUGGCUCUCCUACAGAGGAAGGGCCCACAGGACUGCGAUGCCCGUGAGCUGACCACCAUCCAUCUCCUGACAAAUGAUGCUGUGCAGGUGCCUGGCUGAUGUUUGCCCUUGCCAUGCCAGCAGGAUCCCAUGAGUUCCCAGCUCUAUGGUUUGGUACAAAAGACUCCUUGCC